UACGUAGGUGGCAAGCGUUGUCCGGAUUUAUUGGGUUUAAAGGGUGCGUAGGCGGCCCUGUAAGUCAGCGGUGAAAUACGGCAGCUCAACUGUCGAGGUGCCGUUGAUACUGCGGGGCUUGAGUGUUGAUGAGGCAGGCGGAGUUGACGGUGUAGCGGUGAAAUGCUUAGAUAUCGUCAAGAACACCGAUAGCGAAGGCAGCUUGCCAAGCAACAACUGACGCUGAGGCACGAAAGUGCGGGGAUCAAACAGG
rnacentral:rRNA from 1 species